AUUUUGGACAAUGGGGGAAACCCUGAUCCAGCCAUCCCGCGUGUGCGAUGAAGGCCUUCGGGUUGUAAAGCACUUUUGGCAGGGAAGAAAAGGCUCUGGUUAAUACCUGGAGCUGCUGACGGUACCUGCAGAAUAAGCACCGGCUAACUACUUUCCAUCAGCCGCGGUAAUACGUAGGGGCCGAGCGUUGUCCGGAGUUACUGGGCGUAAAGCGUGUGUUGGCGGUUCGGAAAGAAAGAUGUGAAAUCCCAGGGCUCAACCUUGGAACUGCAUUUUUAACUGCCGAGCUAGAGUAUGUCAGAGGGGGGUAGAAUUCCACGUGUAGCAGUGAAAUGCGUAGAUAUGUGGAGGAAUACCGAUGGCGAAGGCAGCCCCCUGGGAUAAUACUGACGCUGAGGCGCGAAAGCGUGGGGAGCAAACAG
rnacentral:rRNA from 1 species